CAUUUACAAAAGUUCUGCUUGACC
rnacentral:piRNA from 1 species